GUCCCUUUGUGUUACAUAAAUAUUUAAUGUACUGUGUCAAUUUUCUUGUCCUUUCUAGGUUAUAUUCUUUCUUGAAUAAGAUUCUUAAUAGUCUCUCUUGGUUUUAAAGUUAUCCAAUUAGUUUAUAACAAUCUCUAUGAAAUUAAUUCCAGCUCCACCUAAAUAUGAGAGUAAAACUUUUCUGUAGACAGCUCUACCUUCUUUCUCCCAUUUGUGUUAUUGCCAUACAUUUCACAUCUUAAUAAGUACUCACAAACCUAAUGAAGUGAGGAUUGUUUUGCAUAGAUCUGCUUUUAAAUCAGAGAAUACAAAUACGUUAGAACAGAAACCAUAUUUAUACUUUGCUUUACUCUUAUAUAGUUAACUAUUCCGGAGGGUUAUUUCACCUUUAAUCACUUCUGAUGGUACACACUCACUGUAGAGAUGAGGGGGCUGUGAUUCUCUCCAUGUAGUUCCUUAGUCUUUCUCAGAGAAUGGCAUCUAUGUCUGGCUAAGAACUGUUUUUUAGAUAUUAGACAUGGAAACAACUGCGCCUGGAGUCUCCUUCUCUCAUCCGUUAUUAACUAGACACUCACUGUAUGUUCAUUGGAAAGGUACAUAGUUGGUAGAGUUGUUAUUUGAAAACUUAUCGGGUCUGGUUCCACGAAUCCACCUGCAUGGUGUUUGCAUUCUUUGACAGGCUUCUAAAUGUCUGCACAAACUCCAUGUUUUCACAGAAGCUGGUACAACCAUACUGGAACAGUCAGCAUGUGAACUUCCAGUGUGUGCUAUCCUUGACAUGUAGAAUCAGAUCAUAUCUACAGUAUUCAUGUUCUGAUUCAUUGGCAACUAACUGUGAGGUGUUAAUGUCCAUGGCCAUGUUUAUGGCUAAUCCAUUUGCAAUUUGUUUUUAGAGGCAACACUGUUUUAUAUAAAUGUUAAUAAUUAGAAAUGGGGCUUGUAAACAGGGCAUGUGGGAGAGGUAGAUUUUAUUCCACGUCAUCAUGUUUCAAGAAUGCAAUGGCAGAAUUAAAAUAGUUUUAAAAAUUACAUUUUUUGGUGUGUGUAUCAUGCGCAUAUGUGCACACACUUGCUUGUAUGCACCUUCUAUGUGUGUAGAGGUCAGAAGACAGCUUUCAGGAGUUGGUUCUCUCCUUGUACCUUGUAAGUCUCAGGAAUCAAACUUAGAUGAUUAGGUGUGGGAAAUGCUGUCACAACUUGCCAGUCUCAGUUAGAGAAUUCUAUCUGCCUAGAAAAAUAUGUUUUGCAGCAAUUAAAAAGUUUUAAAGUUAGUUUAUUGUGUUUGCCUAUAUGUAUGUCUGGUAUGUCUGUACAUUAUAUGCAUGCCUGGUGUUCACAAAGGCCAGAAGAGGGUGUCAGGUCCCCUGGGACAUAAGAUUCAAAUGGUUGUGAGAUAAAAUAUGGAUACUAGGAAUCCAAGCAGGUCCUCUGGAAGAGCCCAAAUUCUCUCAACCACUGAGCAAUCUCUCGGGCCCUACCAAUUCUCUUAAAAUUUAGAAACGUGCAUUUUUCUUCAUUUCUGAAGGUUAAUUUCACUAGGAAUAGAAUUCUUGGUAACCAGUCUUUUUGUUCUCCAGUACCAGAAUAUGUCCUAACACCACCUUCUGAUAAGAAAGGGCUGUUGAUCCUUCCAGGAUCUCUUGUGAACAGUGAGUCCUCCCCAAUAUCUUUCCCAAAGUCUUCUUUGUCUUUGUUUUUCAAUAGUUCACUUUUGACAUAUUUGGGUAUAGAUCUCUCCAAUAUUUGGAUGUAUAGAUUAAUAUUUUUGUAUAAGGUUUGUAGGCAUCAAGGUAGUAUUUGGUGAAACAAUUAUUUUUUCCCUUCACAUCUUGUGUUUCUCUGGAGAUGCAGUCAAGAAUUUAUUGGUAUGCCUGGCAGUGCCUAUACCUCAGUUCUAGGAGACUUUAUUCACUUUUGCCUUGUGUUGUUUGGUUCUGGUCCAAAGACUGGCCAAUCUCAGUUAUCUCCACAUUCCUUGAUUCUUCUCCCGGCCCAAACCUGACUUUGAGUGCUCUGAAGAAUUUUUCAUUCUGGUUAUUGUGAUUUUUCUUAUCUCUUGAUUUCUUUUUCAGAACACUCCCAACAGCAGGUCUUGGGCCACUAACAGUUCAGGUAACACUGUGCGGUGCAGUCAUCCAUGAAUGUUUUACCUCCAAGAACACUUACUUGUCAGAGUUUCCAAGAAGGGUCUGGAUUCAGGAGUCUGUGUCAGGAGUUUCCUGGGAGAGUUUGCCAGAGCUUCAGCAGAGCAUUGGGUUGGCCCCCAAGAGGAAGGGCUAUGUGAGCACUUAAAUGAUGAAUACCAUACAGGAUGUUUCACUGUCUGCAAGCCCCUGUGUUCUUCCUGCUCAUCCCAUCUCACCCAGAGUUGUGGAAGGACACUGAUCGUCAGCUCAGUCUGUGAUCGCCGCAUGUUUCAAGGUCCAUUGGACACCUACUCACCCUGCAUCCACCUGUGAGGCCGAAUGCAUUGGGUACUUGUGGCCAUGUCUACAAGUUGAAGUUGAUUUGGGAGACACGGUGAAUGUGGGAAGGACAGAUUUCCAUCCAGAAAAGUGAAUCAGUCACAUGAACAGUUAUGAGACUCCGUCGUGGGAGGACCCAUCAGAGUGUGAUCUGGACUGAAUGUGAAGAGGAGGGAAAGGAACUGCCAUGCUGUUGGGGAGUCUGGGCAGGCAGGUGGCUUCCCAGCAGCACUCCAGAAGCAGUGAGGCUGAUCAGAAGUGGCAGCUGGGAGAAGACUGUUAGGUUAGAGCUCUUAAAACUUGGGUUCUCACCUUCAUGGAUACAGGCACAGAAGUGGAGGCUGUGGAGCAAUUUGGAAGAAUGGACAUUGGCCAAGACCUUACCUCUGUUACCAAGAUCUCACUCUCUAUGGCUGCCAAUUCUUCAGCCAAAAAGCAAUUAUUGAAGAGAAGAAGAAUCACGGUUUUCUUCUGUGUGCCACAGUAGAAACCACACACCACCUGCACGUGGGAGGAAGAGAAUCAUCGCAGUUGGUACAGAGGCAGCCCCGUGGAGAACAGAAGAUCCUUCACAUGCAAUCAAGACAGAAAGGAGCCACACAUGCAGAUGCCUUUGCUGACACCCCUUUUGCCUUCCUAGGGAACCUGUCUUCAACAUGACUUCAGGGGAGCUGAGUGUCAGCUAAUUGCAUCUGUAGACAGAGGCAGAAGAUGCUUUUUGGCUUGGGUUCAUCUGAUUUGCAUACUCCAGGUGUCCCUGUCAUAGGUAUGCUGUUUAUAACACUGCCUUCUUGAAUUUUCUGGAGUUGAGAACAACAUGGGGUAGAGAAUAUGCACCUUCCCAGGGCUGCAUCUGAGACAUAGUGACAUAAAGUCUCUAGGGACAGAGCAAGCGGGUUGGGUCUGCUCAUUUCACAAGCUUCCUGGUUCCUGGACUUUGGCAGAGGUGAGAAACAAAGAUUUCACUAGACUCCUGCAGAUUGGUAUCAGCAAUCACAUAUUGAAAGAAAGUCCAUUUGUUUCUAAAAGUGACAGGUAAAAUUCUUUGACUCUCUGACUUGAAAGCCCCUAAUCUACUCACACUUUUAUACAACCCUCUACAAUAUAUCUUCAUGACUUUUCUUUUUCAUCAAUAUGGCAAGAAGGUUAUAGAUGUCAACCAAGAAACAGCUCUUACCUCAAAUGUGAUUUAUUCUGGAACAAAAUAUGAGUGAGCAUAGCCCACAUGUUCAGGCUAUCCCAAGCACCAUGUUCUGAUGAGGUAGCAAUUUCAUGAAGUUAUUAUAGGAACAGAACAAAGCAGGUCAUAAGUCAAUGUGCUUUACAAAUCCAUGUCCAGGGGGAAAGCCAGGCAGGCUUCAGUGUAUCAGGGAAAUCUCAGAUACUAAUGAUCUCAGCCUUUGGUUAGUGGGAACUACAGGUCUGAUUGAACAUUCCAAAGGAUUUAUAUAAUUUUCAAGAUGUUAGGUCACAUAGAAAGGAGGGUAAUAAAUGGUUAUUAAGAGCCAAAACAUGGCCCAAGAUAAUGUGAAUUUGGGCUGAAGACAUUCCAAUAUCUGCAUCAUUGAGGUCCUAAUCUAUCAAUGAGCCUUUCUAGUCAAAGCUUCUGUUGGUCUUAUGGAUAUCUGAAAUCCAGAGAGGGAAAAAAACACUUCUUUAAGCCAAUGUCCCCAGGGCAUCAGAAUACCUAUAAGCAACUGGCCUCCUGCAGCCUGAUUUCUUCUGUUUCUUCACUAACUUGCAAGCCCUUCUCUCAGUUGGAGCAUUGUAGACACAAAGAUGAUGUGUUUUGGACAAAGAAGGGGGUAUGGACUCUACCUGGGCUGGGUGCUCAAUGACUGUGACUGCCAUGUAUAGUUGGAAGGGUUUCAGUAAAAGUGGAGACAGAUGAAUAGUGUGACUAUAUUGAAACUGUAAGGGCGAGACAUGAUGUCUUCAACUGACAGCUUUUCCAGUUGAAAGGGUUAGUGAAAGCCCACUGGUACACACAGGCUCUGAUUAGCGUGCUGUGGAGGGUCUCUGCAGUCAAGCAUUGGGUCAACUUUUGUUUUCCACUGAAGGAUGAUGGACAGCAAAACAAUGAGAACAUGCGGUGGGGAGUCCAGUGAGAUGCUUUGUGGCUUCAGGUAAAAAAGAAUCUGUGUACCACACAGAGGAGUUAAGAGAGGUUGAGCCCUUGCAUGGUUCAGUUUUCCUCAGAGGAAACAAAACAAAAUGAGGCAAAAGAUAUAUUUGUUUUCUACUAAGUACUUUUCCGAAUUGGGUAACCAACUCUCUCCAAAUUCACCAGCACUUGGAGACCACCAGGCACACAUCCUUCCUGAUGUCUCUACAUAGAGCAACGGGCUGUUCUUCCAUUAGUCCCACUGUCUGCCAUGAGUCACACAUGUGAACAGUCAGUCCAACUUAAUAAGUGUACUCACUCAGAAAACAACUUCAGCUGCUAUCCUGUCAGUUUCUGGUGGAAAGGUGUGGAGAGGGAAUGAAAGGUGACAGCUAUGUAAAGGUUGAGAGUGGGAAAUAAGAAAAAUGAGUAAAGCACAAACAAGAUCUGCUUAUUGAACAGGGACUGUCUUGAAGGAGAGAUUUGGGGCUGGUUGGGGUGGGGAAGACAGAGGAAGGAGAGCAGUUUUGAGCUCCUGCAAGAUGAGCUACCACCUUCUACCAUCCUUGUAAAAGACUUAUUUUCUUGUGGCAGAAGGACUUCUCACUUAAGCUUCCCACCCACCUUCAGAGAGACAGUGGAAAGUGGUUUGCUCUGUGAAGGCUCUGCAUCUGCCACAGUGCUGCGGUGUGGAGUUGGUUUCAGACAUUCAGGUGACUGUGAAUGUCCACUUCUAUGUAGCUGUUUACUUUGUUACAAUGGAGUCUAUUUGCCUUAAACAAUGGAUCCUUCUUGCUUUCCUAUAGCCGCUUCCAUUACUCUGAAUUAGUUUCUUAUUGUUUAUAAUGUCUCCCUGUCUUUGCCACUGUUCUGUUCCCGUGAAGAGAUACCAUGACCACAACAACUCUUAUAAAAGAAAGCAUUUAAGUAGGACUUAUUUACAGUUUCAGAGGUUUAGUCCAUUAUCAUGGCAGAGAGCACAGCAACACACAGGCGACAUACAUGUGUUUGAAAAGUAGCUGACAGUUCUACACCUGGGUUCACUGGCUGCAGUAAGAGAGAGACUCUGGGCUUGAAAUGUGCUUUUUAAACAUCAAAGACUAUCCCCGUCCCAUGACAUACUUCUUCCAACAAGGCCAUACCUCCUAAUCCUUUCAAAUAGUGCCACUCUCUAAGAAUUCAAAUCUAAGAAAGAGCCUACAGGGUCAUUCUGAUUCAAACCACCACACUAAUACAAGGUAAAUGCCGUCCAAAUUGAGUAUCAGGUGAAAUGAUGGCAAGAAAAGAAUCUUUGUGUUCAGUUCAGGUGUAAAAAGAGAAUCAAUGAAUCAAUGAAGAAUUCUGUUACUGAAAA